UCUAGUGAGGCGGUUGUGGAGGCUCUCUGUGCUCCUCCGUUCGUCCUUUGCCUGGGCCUGAUACUGUGCAGAAAACACAUCCUAAGACCCAGCAGCAUGUCUGCAUUCUGGCCUCCGUCUUGGUCUUGGGGAUUCGCCGUGCACAUCAAGUUCAGGCGGCUGUGUAGAGAGUCCAACUAAAGCCUCAGUUGUAGCCUCCUUCUCCUUAUCUCCCCGAACCUCAGUAACUACCGAAAUGGAAGCUUUGGAACAGAACGCACAUGGCUAAUAAAUUCAGUCUAGAAAUGAAGUUGUUUUGUGACAUCUGACUGCUGUAACAGCUGAUCACAUGAGGAGCUUCCUGUGGCCCCCAGAGUUGGAGAAGGAAGGAGGAGGGUGUGCAGAGAUGGCCUGUGCCAGGGCAGGUCCCAUCAUCACUGAGAGACAGAAGGGAGAGAGAAGGAAGUGUUUCCCUCUACCUGAGGCCAAUGGGCAGGAGUUACAUCGCUCGGAAUGCAGAACCGAACACAGGCCCCAG